UACGUAGGGUGCAAGCGUUAAUCGGAAUUACUGGGCGUAAAGCGUGCGCAGGCGGUUUUGUAAGUCUGGCGUGAAAUCCCCGGGCUCAACCUGGGAAUGGCGUUGGAGACUGCAAGGCUAGAAUCUGGCAGAGGGGGGUAGAAUUCCACGUGUAGCAGUGAAAUGCGUAGAGAUGUGGAGGAAUACCGAUGGCGAAGGCAGCCCCCUGGGCUAAGAUUGACGCUCAUGCACGAAAGCGUGGGGAGCAAACAGG
rnacentral:rRNA from 1 species